UUAGCGGCGGACGGGUGAGUAACACGUGGAUAACCUACCUAUAAGACUGGGAUAACUUCGGGAAACCGGAGCUAAUACCGGAUAAUAUUUUGAACCGCAUGGUUCAAAAGUGAAAGACGGUCUUGCUGUCACUUAUAGAUGGAUCCGCGCUGCAUUAGCUAGUUGGUAAGGUAACGGCUUACCAAGGCAACGAUGCAUAGCCGACCUGAGAGGGUGAUCGGCCACACUGGAACUGAGACACGGUCCAGACUCCUACGGGAGGCAGCAGUAGGGAAUCUUCCGCAAUGGGCGAAAGCCUGACGGAGCAACGCCGCGUGAGUGAUGAAGGUCUUCGGAUCGUAAAACUCUGUUAUUAGGGAAGAACAUAUGUGUAAGUAACUGUGCACAUCUUGACGGUACCUAAUCAGAAAGCCACGGCUAACUACGUGCCAGCAGCCGCGGUAAUACGUAGGUGGCAAGCGUUAUCCGGAAUUAUUGGGCGUAAAGCGCGCGUAGGCGGUUUUUUAAGUCUGAUGUGAAAGCCCACGGCUCAACCGUGGAGGGUCAUUGGAAACUGGAAAACUUGAGUGCAGAAGAGGAAAGUGGAAUUCCAUGUGUAGCGGUGAAAUGCGCAGAGAUAUGGAGGAACACCAGUGGCGAAGGCGACUUUCUGGUCUGUAACUGACGCUGAUGUGCGAAAGCGUGGGGAUCAAACAGGAUUAGAUACCCUGGUAGUCCACGCCGUAAACGAUGAGUGCUAAGUGUUAGGGGGUUUCCGCCCCUUAGUGCUGCAGCUAACGCAUUAAGCACUCCGCCUGGGGAGUACGACCGCAAGGUUGAAACUCAAAGGAAUUGACGGGGACCCGCACAAGCGGUGGAGCAUGUGGUUUAAUUCGAAGCAACGCGAAGAACCUUACCA
rnacentral:rRNA from 1 species